rnacentral:rRNA from 1 species
GGGAAAGUAGCUUGCUACUUUUGCCGGCGAGCGGCGGACGGGUGAGUAAUGCCUGGGAAAUUGCCCAGUCGAGGGGGAUAACAGUUGGAAACGACUUCUAAUACCGCAUACGCCCUACGGGGGAAAGCAGGGGACCUUCGGGCCUUGCGCGAUUGGAUAUGCCCAGGUGGGAUUAGCUAGUUGGUGAGGUAAUGGCUCACCAAGGCGACGAUCCCUAGCUGGUCUGAGAGGAUGAUCAGCCACACUGGAACUGAGACACGGUCCAGACUCCUACGGGAGGCAGCCAUGGGGAAUAUUUCAAAAUGGGGGAAACCCUGGUGCAGCCAUGCCGCGUGUGUGAAGAAGGCCUUCGGGUUGUAAAGCACUUUCAGCCAGGAGGAAAGGUUGGCGCCUAAUACGUGUCAAC